UCUCUGGUGGUUCAGUGGUUAGGACUCCACACUCUCACUGCUGAGGGCCCAGGUUUAAUCCCUAGCCACAGAA
rnacentral:tRNA from 1 species